rnacentral:rRNA from 1 species
CAGUCGCCGCGGUAAUACGUAGGGUGCGAGCGUUAAUCGGAAUUACUGGGCGUAAAGCGUGCGCAGGCGGUUGUGUAAGACAGGUGUGAAAUCCCCGGGCUUAACCUGGGAACUGCGCUUGUGACUGCACAGCUAGAGUAUGGCAGAGGGGGGUGGAAUUCCACGUGUAGCAGUGAAAUGCGUAGAGAUGUGGAGGAACACCGAUGGCGAAGGCAGCCCCCUGGGCCAAUACUGACGCUCAUGCACGAAAGCGUGGGGAGCAAACAGGAUUAGAGACCCCUGUAGUCCCUGUCUCUUAUAC